UACUAGGCUUCCUCACAAAGGAAUGGAGA
rnacentral:piRNA from 1 species